GAUGAACGCUGGCGGCGUGCCUAAUACAUGCAAGUCGAGCGAACGGACGAGAAGCUUGCUUCUCUGAUGUUAGCGGCGGACGGGUGAGUAACACGUGGAUAACCUACCUAUAAGACUGGGAUAACUUCGGGAAACCGGAGCUAAUACCGGAUGAUAUUUUGAACCGCAUGGUUCAAAAGUGAAAGACGGUCUUGCUGUCACUUAUAGAUGGACCCGCGCUGCAUUAUCUAGUUGGUAAGGUAACGGCUUACCAAGGCAACGAUGCAUAGCCGACCUGAGAGGGUGAUCGGCCACACGGGAACUGAGACACGGUCCAGACUCCUACGGGAGGCAGCAGUAGGGAAUCUUCCGCAAUGCGCGAAAGCCUGACGGAGCAACGCCGCGUGAGUGAUGAAGGUCUUCGGCUCGUAAAACUCUGUUAUUAGGGAAGAACAUAUGUGUAAGUAACUGUGCACAUCUUGACGGUACCUAAUCAGAAAGCCACGGCUAACUACGUG
rnacentral:rRNA from 1 species